rnacentral:rRNA from 1 species
UACGUAGGGUGCAAGCGUUGUCCGGAAUUAUUGGGCGUAAAGAGCUCGUAGGCGGCUCGUCGCGUCUGCUGUGGAAAAGCCCCGGGGCUUAACCCCGGGUCUGCAGUGGGUACGGGCGGGCUAGAGUGCGGUAGGGGAGACUGGAAUUCCUGGUGUAGCGGUGAAAUGCGCAGAUAUCAGGAAGAACACCCGUGGCGAAGGCGGCUCUCUGGGACGGUACUGACGCUGAGACGCGAAAGCGUGGGGAGCGAACAGG